rnacentral:lncRNA from 1 species
GGGAACUACUUCCGGGGGAGCGGCGCGGCGGCGCGGGAGGAUCUCUCACCCCGUCACUCAGGGUGGCGCAAUCACGACUCAUUGGCUCACUGCAGCCUAGACCUCCCAGCUGGAGCAAUUCUCCUGCCUCAGCCUUCUGAGUAGCUGGGACUACAGGAGGCUGAACCGUCUGAGCCCAGAAGUGCUGAGGUGACGAGGAAGCCCAAGGCUGCUGUUCCUUCUGUGAACAAGAGGCCCAAGAAAGAGACUAAGAAGAAGCGGUAGAAGAGGAGGCCUGAGGAGCUGGGCGGGCAGGGAGAGGGUCUUGGGGACAGCCCUCCUGGGAAUCUACAUUGUGUUCCCCCGCAUUCCAGGCUCAGGGUCUGAGGAGGCUGUGACGCCCUAUGACCGCAGAGAUCUAGACAGUCGUAACAGUCCCCAGGCUCCAGCUGGGCAAUCCACCACUUCCUCUUCCUUCUGCUUCUGUGACGGUUUAGAGUCAAGGGGGCUGAAACACACUGUGAGCAUAGACUGUAUUAGGUUUGUUCAGAAGCCGGGUCAGCUCACAGAGUCACAUUUUCUUGCUUAGUCAUGUGUCCCUCCUUGAGUUGCCCCCUCCUUGUGGGUUUACACUACAUUUGGGAGUCAUUGUCUAAUGCUGACAAGCACACCCUCUCCCAUUAUUUGUGCACUACAGAUCUCCUCCUGAUCAGUCACCUUUGUUGCUGCUGUGUAGACAGAGCCAGGCCUCACCUGUUUGUUUAGGCCAAGAUGCCAUGGACAUGCAGCGUUAGUGAUCCCACUAGCUGUGACAGCCAGGCCCAGAAAAUGCCUGGCGUGAGAGCCAGCAGACAGCCAGGCCAGGGUAGGCAGUGCCUGCUUCUGCUCCAUCAGGUGCAGGGGAUUUGGCUGAAGGCGUGCAUAUUUCCUGGGCACAAACUUCCUGAGCCUCUGAAAUGGGAGGCUCGUCAAUUUCAGACCAACCUCUUUUCAACCCAUCAUAGCACGUUCAAGGUGUGCCUUUUACUUCUACCUGUACAUCCCCCAUCCCUUCAAUUCUUUCAUUCCCUGACCAGUGAGAGGGUUCCUGGGGGAAGUAUGGUGAAUAAACUGACAUGCAUGCUUCAG